rnacentral:misc_RNA from 1 species
GAUGAAGAACGUAGCGAAAUGCGAUAAGUAGUGUGAAUUGCAGAAUUUAGUGAAUCAUCGAAUCUUUGAACGCACAUUGCGCCCUAUAGUAUUCUGUAGGGCAUGCCUGUUCGAGCGUUAUUGAGACCUCAAGCUCUGCUUGGAAAUGGGCGCUUGUCUUGCCUUGCAGACUCGCCUUAAAACCAUUGGCAGCUGAUUUACAAUGUUUGGUGCACAGUACAUGAGCCCAAGUGUUGCAAUGAGUGGCCCAAACGGAUACAAUAGAAGCUUAACCUCGGAUCAGGUAGGGAUACACGCUGAACUUAAGCAUAUCAAUAAGCGGAGGA